UAAAUGAUGGAAUUCUUAUGACCCAGUUGUGUUAGCUUUGUCGAGUGCCCCUUAAGGCGCUAGGCGGACGGUUAUGCUGCCCCUUUUUUCGGCCAUGCUCUUCCCCUUUUAGGGAACCAUGGAAAAUUAUGUGGUAUUGCUUGUUGCCUCGGAUGCGGAGCAUGAAGCGAGCAUGAUGCUUUGUCAUCAUUCGCUCAUUCGGAGCUCUCGAUUGCUCGAAAAGAGUGACUGUCGCGCAUGGUUUUGGCUGUCGACUCGUCGAAACAGCUCAAAACCUCGCCGACGUCUUCAAUGAAUGCUACCUGGUUGAUCCUGCCAGUAGUCAUAUGCUUGUCUCAAAGAUUAGCCUGCGCAAGA
rnacentral:rRNA from 1 species